rnacentral:rRNA from 1 species
GACGAACGCUGGCGGCGUGCCUAAUACAUGCAAGUCGAGCGGACCAAACAGGAGCUUGCUCUUGUUUGGUUAGCGGCGGACGGGUGAGUAACACGUGGGUAACCUGCCCGUAAGACCGGGAUAACUCCGGGAAACCGGAGCUAAUACCGGAUAACACCGAAGACCGCAUGGUCUUUGGUUGAAAGGCGGCUUCGGCUGCCACUUACGGAUGGGCCCGCGGCGCAUUAGCUAGUUGGUGAGGUAACGGCUCACCAAGGCGACGAUGCGUAGCCGGCCUGAGAGGGUGACCGGCCACACUGGGACUGAGACACGGCCCAGACUCCUACGGGAGGCAGCAGUAGGGAAUCUUCCGCAAUGGACGAAAGUCUGACGGGGCGACGCCGCGUGAGCGAAGAAGGUCUUCGGAUCGUAAAGCUCUGUUGUUAGGGAAGAAGAAGCGCCGUUCGAACAGGGCGGCGCGGUGACGGUACCUAACGAGAAAGCCCCGGCUAACUACGUG